AGCCUGCGCGCCACCGUUCUUUUAAAUGCGCAGGCGCUCCGGAAAUCCCGUGAGAGCGGCGCAUGCGCAGCGGAGGCCGACGCGGCACCCCAGUGGAGUGAGAGAAGGGUCGCGCGAGAGUCGUAGGUGGAGUUGGUGGGCGCUAUGCUGUCACCCGAGGCUGAGCGAGUACUGCGAUACUUGGUAGAGGUUGAGGAGCUCGCCGAAGAGGUGCUGGCGGACAAGCGGCAGAUUGUGGACCUGGACACUAAAAGGAAUCAGAAUCGAGAGGGCUUGAGGGCCCUGCAGAAGGAUCUCAGCCUCUCUGAAGAUGUGAUGGUUUGCUUCGGGAGCAUGUUUAUCAAGAUGCCUCAUCCUGAAACAAAGGAAAUGAUUGAAAAAGAUCAAGAUCAUCUGGAUAAAGAAAUAGAAAAACUCCGGAAACAACUUAAAGUGAAGGUCAACCGCCUUUUUGAAGCCCAAGGCAAACCAGAGCUGAAGGGUUUUAACUUGAACCCCCUCAACCAAGAUGAGCUUAAAGCUCUCAAGGUCAUCUUGAAAGGAUGAGACUCAAGAACCAAGAUGGGGGACCAGUGACCAGCAACCCCCACAGGGUCAUGGAGGACCCUUCAACCUUGAUACCUGUAAGGACAGGAUCUGCCCUGUAAGGGGACAGACAUCAGGAAUCUGGCCAUGAAAACCUCGUUGUGUAGUGCUUGGCUGCUCUGUGACAGGAGGGAACCCUCAGCCUGUCUGGCUGCUAGACCUGUACACCAGGGCACAGUGCACACAAGACCUAUUGAUGGGCCCUGGCAGCCACCAGUGGGUGUGUGGAGCCAUGGCUGUGGGGGUGUGUGAAUGACUGCAGCAGGCACUUCUCAACAAUGGCCUGCUGUAAGGACCCUGAGCAGGGAAGGAGGGAGGGAGAGGGAAGAGUGGAGCUUCAUUCCAGCAUUCAUCUCAGAAGGGAGAGAGGUUUUCAGGCAGGUGCCAUGAGAUGGGAAUAAAGCAGGAGGCUUUUGGGUGGAUGCUGAAUGAAGAACAGAAUCUUGAUGCUUUGUGGCUUACCACAGCCACCUGUGUGUCUGCCCCACAGAUGGCUGCCAGCUCCAUUUCUGCCCUUUUUCCCUGCUUGAUUCCAAGAGUAGGUGCUGCCUAGCAGCCCUUUGUGGCCACUCUUUCAUCAGGAGGGCCCUGCAGAGUCCUGCACCAGGCCUGCGUGAGUAGGUACUCCUCCUGCCUUGUGUCACAUGUCAAGAGUGCCCCUCCACCCCCUCUGAAAGUGGGGCCUGGCCAGUGCUGCUUAGUACUGUCUGCCUUCAGUGGUAUGAAUUGCCGUGAAGUCAGAACUCGUGUGUUCAUUAAGGGCUCAAUAAAGGUUGGCUGAAUGAAUAAAUAACAGCAACUAGUCUUUAUUUGCCUCAUCUAGUCCUUCACUAAGGGCACGCUGCUCCAUUUAGAAUACCACCUAUGAAUGUGGUUCUUACCUUCGGUUCUUACCUUGAAAUGAACCUGUGGUUUAACAGGCAGGUGACAACAAAUGGCAGCAUGGCAGGGGCACACCUCUCCUGGUCCCCUCGCUCCUUUGCUUGGGCUCAUGGUUACGUAGAAACAGGCUGUCAUGGCUAGUUCUUACAUUUUUUUCAAAAGAAGCUAGACAUUCAGGUUGUGAAGUUGAUUAGAAAUUACUGUGUGUUUUCCCUGUAAUCUCUUUAAGAAGUAGGCGGGUGGAAUUGGAAACCAACUACAUCCAUCCACAGGGGACUAGUUAAAGGAAUCAGUAGCUCCAGGUAGGGGAGUACCAUACAACUACAAUCAAGAAUAAGGAACAAGCUGCAAGACACAUCAAGUGAGAAGAGCAAGGGGAAGAGGCAGGAGAGUCUAGCGGUCAAGCACUCAGGUUUUGGAGCCAGGCAGAUGGGAGUUUGCAGCGUGGCUCGCUGCUUCUGACCAAGACCUUCAUUCAGCAAGUUACACAGCACCUGGAGAUCAUUUCCUCAUCUGUAAAAUUACAGUGAAAGCUGCUUAAAGAUAAAAUGAGAUAAUGUACAUAAAAGAUUUCAUCUGCACUGGACCAAAAAGUGCAUUCAAGAUGGAGGCUCUUAUUAAUAUGCUUGAAUGAAAAAUGCCACGUGGGAAAGUGGGAUUCGAAACUCUAGCCCAAUGCCAAUUUUGUAAAAAAAAAGUAUGAAUAUAUGUAUUUUUUAAGAACUGGAAGGAAAUACACCAGAUUGUUAAAGAUG